ACGAACGCUGGCGGCAUGCCUAACACAUGCAAGUCGAACGCUCCGCAAGGGGAGUGGCGAACGGGUGAGUAACGCGUGGGAACCUGCCCAGCAGUUGGGGAUAACCGCGGGAAACUGCGGCUAAUACCGAAUACGUCCUAAGGGAGAAAGAUUUAUCGCUGUUGGAGGGGCCCGCGUCGGAUUAGCUGGUUGGUGAGGUAACGGCUCACCAAGGCAUCGAUCCGUAGCUGGUCUGAGAGGAUGAUCAGCCACACUGGGACUUAGGCACGGCCCAGACUCCUACGGGAGGCAGCAGUGGGGAAUAUUGGACAAUGGGGGCAACCCUGAUCCAGCAAUGCCGCGUGAGUGAUGAAGGCCUUAGGGUUGUAAAGCUCUUUUACCGGGGACGAUGAUGACGGUACCCGGAGAAUAAGCCCCGGCUAACUUCGUGCCAGCAGCCGCGGUAAUU
rnacentral:rRNA from 1 species